AUAUUUCAUGGAUUCCUCAAAAUGUGCUGCCUUGAUCUCUGCCACCUCAUCCUCAACAUCUUCCUCCAUAGCCUCAGGGUUCUCUUUUUGCCUCCUCUCCUUCUCAAUAUCCUACAAAAUACAGAUCCAAAAUAAGUAUCUGUGUAACAAGACAGCUAACUAGGGAAAACAUAAGAAGAUGGUAGCAUUAAAAAAAUCUGAAGCAUACUUUCUCAAUGUUCUCUCUUAUGGCAUAUUUGCAAGCACGCUGGCAUAUUUCUGUAAUAUCAGCACCACUGAAACCCUGUGUGUACUUGGCAAGUGCUCUGAGGUCAACAUCUUUGGAGACUGGUGAUUUCCUCAAGCAAGAUUUGAAUAUUUGAAAGCGUGACUCCUCAUCAGGAAGAGGGAUAUAGAUCAACUGAUCAAGACGCCCAGGACGCAAUAGGGCAGGGUCUAUGAUGUCGGGUCUGUUUGUGGCCCCAAUUAUGAAAACAGUUUUCUUUGCAGUCAUG
rnacentral:lncRNA from 1 species